AUUGAACGCUGGUGGCAUGCUUUACACAUGCAAGUCGAACGGUAACAGGCCGCAAGGUGCUGACGAGUGGCGAACGGGUGAGUAAUGCAUCGGAACGUGCCCAGGCGUGGGGGGUAACUACUCGAAAGAGUAGCUAAUACUGCAUACGAUCUAUGGGUGAAAGCGGGGGACCGUAAGGCCUCGCGCGAUUGGAGCGGCCGAUGUCAGAUUAGGUAGUUGGUGGGGUAAAGGCUCACCAAGCCAACGAUCUGUAGCUGGUCUGAGAGGAUGACCAGCCACACUGGGACUGAGACACGGCCCAGACUCCUACGGGAGGCAGCAGUGGGGAAUUUUGGACAAUGGGCGCAAGCCUGAUCCAGCAAUGCCGCGUGCAGGAAGAAGGCCUUCGGGUUGUAAACUGCUUUUGUACGGAACGAAACGGCUCUGGUUAAUACCCGGGGCUAAUGACGGUACCGUAAGAAUAAGCACCGGCUAACUACGUG
rnacentral:rRNA from 1 species